AGUAACACGUGGAUAACCUACCUAUAAGACUGGGAUAACUUCGGGAAACCGGAGCUAAUACCGGAUAAUAUAUUGAACCGCAUGGUUCAAUAGUGAAAGACGGUUUUGCUGUCACUUAUAGAUGGAUCCGCGCCGCAUUAGCUAGUUGGUAAGGUGACGGCUUACCAAGGCGACGAUGCGUAGCCGACCUGAGAGGGUGAUCGGCCACACUGGAACUGAGACACGGUCCAG
rnacentral:rRNA from 1 species